GAUCCCGUAGCUCAGCAGGUCAGAGCGCCUCCCUGAUAAGGAGGAGGUCGCUGGUUCAAAUCCAGCCGGGAUCA
rnacentral:tRNA from 1 species